rnacentral:rRNA from 1 species
GUAGUCCACGCCCUAAACGAUGUCAACUAGGUGUUGGAGGAGCAAUCCUUUGGUACCGCAGCUAACGCGUGAAGUUGACCGCCUGGGGAGUACGGUCGCAAGAUUAAAACUCAAAGGAAUUGACGGGGACCCGCACAAGCGGUGGAUGAUGUGGAUUAAUUCGAUGCAACGCGAACAACCUUACCUACCCUUGACAUGUCUGGAAUCCUGCUGAAAGGCGGGAGUGCCCGAAAGGGAACCGGAACACAGGUGCUGCAUGGCUGUCGUCAGCUCGUGUCGUGAGAUGUUGGGUUAAGUCCCGCAACGAGCGCAACCCUUGUCCUUAGUUGCUACGCAAGGGCACUCUAAGGAGACUGCCGGUGACAAACCGGA